rnacentral:rRNA from 1 species
AUUGAACGCUGGCGGCAUGCCUUACACAUGCAAGUCGAACGGUAACGCGGGGCAACCUGGCGACGAGUGGCGAACGGGUGAGUAAUGCAUCGGAACGUGCCCAGUAGUGGGGGAUAGCCCGGCGAAAGCCGGAUUAAUACCGCAUACGACCUACGGGUGAAAGCGGGGGACCGUAAGGCCUCGCGCUAUUGGAGCGGUCGAUGUCAGAUUAGGUUGUUGGUGGGGUAAAAGCCUACCAAGCCGAUGAUCUGUAGCUGGUCUGAGAGGACGACCAGCCACACUGGGACUGAGACACGGCCCAGACUCCUACGGGAGGCAGCAGUGGGGAAUUUUGGACAAUGGGGGCAACCCUGAUCCAGCCAUGCCGCGUGCGGGAAGAAGGCCUUCGGGUUGUAAACCGCUUUUGUCAGGGAAGAAGCGCUCUGGGCUAAUACCCCGGGGUAAUGACGGUACCUGAAGAAUAAGCACCGGCUAACUACGUGCCAGCCGCCGCAGUAACAC